GAUGAACGCUGGCGGCGUGCCUAAUACAUGCAAGUCGAGCGAACAGACGAGGAUCUUGCUCCUCUUACGUUAGCGGCGGACGGGUGAGUAACACGUGGAUAACCUACCUAUAAGACUGGGAUAACUUCGGGAAACCGGAGCUAAUACCGGAUAAUAUAUUGAACCGCAUGGUUCAAUAGUGAAAGACGGUUUUGCUGUCCCUUAUAGAUGGAUCCGCGCCGCAUUAGCUAGUUGGUAAGGUAACGGCUUACCAAGGCAACGAUGCGUAGCCGACCUGAGAGGGUGAUCGGCCACACUGGAACUGAGACACGGUCCAGACUCCUACGGGAGGCAGCAGUAGGGAAUCUUCCGCAAUGGGCGAAAGCCUGACGGAGCAACGCCGCGUGAGUGAUGAAGGUCUUCGGAUCGUAAAACUCUGUUAUUAGGGAAGAACAAAUGUGUAAGUAACUAUGCCCGUCUUGACGGUACCUAAUCAGAAAGCCACGGCUAACUACGUG
rnacentral:rRNA from 1 species